GCUAAAAACCUAGCUCAACUUUACGCAAAUACCACAACCAAACAACUGUAACUAAACAAAACAUUUUUAAAUUUUUAGUAAAGGCGAUUGAAAAAUAUCUAGAAGCUAUAACAAUAGUACCGUAAGGGAAAAGUGAAAUAAAAAUGAAAUAACUUUAAAGCAAAGCUAAGCAGAGAUUUAACCUCGUACCUUUUGCAUCAUGGUCUAGCUAGUUUAACCAAGCAAAGCGAAAUUAUAGUUUGACACCCCGAAACUAGGUGAGCUACUUCAAAACAGCCUUCAAGGGCCAACCCGUCUCUGUUGCAAAAGAGUGGGAAGAUUUUCAAGUAGAGGUGAUAGACCUACCGAACCUAGAGAUAGCUGGUUAUUCAGGAAAAGGAUUUAAGUCCUACCUUAAGUUUUUCUAUACUACAAAAUAUACCCAUAAACUUAAGAGCUAUUCAAAUAAGGUACAGCCUAUUUGAAACAGGAAACAACCUAAAACACAGGGUAAUGAUAUUCUAAAUGUGACCAAGUGGGCCUAAAAGCAGCCAACUUUUAAAUAGCGUUAAAGCUUCAUCACUUCAUUUAACAAAUAACCAUAACACCACAAAACCCUUUACCACUACUGAAUGACUCCAUAAUUGUAUGGAGAACACUAUGCUAGAACUAGUAACAAGAAGAAGACCUUCUCCAAAAUGUAAGUGUAAGCCAAAAUGAACAUCUCACUGGCACUUAUCGUCUCUGAACUUACGGUAGCAACUUCACAAGAAAAUACUACCACACAAAACGUUAACCUUACACCAGAACAUUACCGGAAAGAUUAAAAGAAGAGGAAGGAACUCGGCAAAUUUUAACCCCGCCUGUUUACCAAAAACAUCGCCUCCUGAAAUAACUAUAGGAGGUCCAGCCUGCCCAGUGACAAAGUUAAACGGCCGCGGUACCCUAACCGUGCGAAGGUAGCGCAAUCACUUGUUCUUUAAAUGAGGACUAGUAUGAAUGGCAUCACGAGGGUUAUACUGUCUCCCUCUUUCAAUCAGUGAAACUGAUCUUCCCGUGAAGAAGCGGGAAUACAUCUAUAAGACGAGAAGACCCCAUGGAGCUUAAAACUCAGUAUCAACUACUAUACUAAUUUAUCCUCUUAAUUAAGCAGAUCUGACUACUAGUUUUCGGUUGGGGUGACCGCGGAGCAAAACAAAACCUCCACGAUGAAAGGAACUAACCUCCUAAUCAAAGAGCUACCUCUCUAAGAAUCAACAAAUUGACAUUUAUUGAUCCAACUUUUUUGAUCAACGAACCAAGUUACCCUGGGGAUAACAGCGCAAUCCAUUUCAAGAGCCCCUAUCGACAAAUGGGUUUACGACCUCGAUGUUGGAUCAGGGUAUCCCAGUGGUGCAGCCGCUACUAAAGGUUCGUUUGUUCAACGAUUAAAACCCU
rnacentral:rRNA from 1 species